CGGACUGUGAGUAUAACUUCGGGGGGGCGGAUAAAGAGGUCGGAGUGAAUGAGUGUAUGAGACGCAGCAACGCUGCGACAUGAGAGUGGAGUCCUUCUAACCUCGUUUCUGUCUUCCCGCAAGGGAAACAGCAGGUGAAGGGACGAAGCGAUUGAAUUCAUGAGUGGACCUCUGGGGUCGGUGGGAGUUUUUCAGAAGGGACCACUGAGUCGGUGAAAAAUCCUAGAAGGGAUCCCAGAGGGUCAGUAGGAAGGUCCCUUCCAGGUACUGCUCACAACAGAGACCGCAGUCCAUACAGCAGAACUAGGGUGGACACACGUGACCAGAGUGAAAGGACCUGUUGCUCCACCACCCCUGAAGGAGUGGACUGUGUCGUCAACGCUUGGGGACCUACGACUCAAACUCCAGAAAAGGCCUUUAUGAAUUCAUCACCUGAAUGGAGAAGACAUAUCGAGGACUGGAAUGAGUUAUCCCCAGAACAAAGAGACUGAAGAGCCCAACAGGUAUUUCCUGAAAGUUUCAGUGUAAAACCUAGCCUGAGAUCCUGGUUUCAAUUAUCCCCAGGACAAAUUCUUAAGAGAAGGUGGUUUGUUUCAUGGAAAGAGGGAGCCAUCCCCUAGCAGAGUGGAGGGGCAGGUGUAUAUGUUACUGAUCGCCUAAUUAACCCAAUCCUUGUGUUAGCUUGUGACCUUGA